UGGGGAAUCUUGGACAAUGGGCGCAAGCCUGAUCCAGCGACGCCGCGUGGGUGAUGAAGGCCCUCGGGUUGUAAAGCCCUUUCGCCGGGGACGAUGAUGACGGUACCCGGUAAAGAAGCACCGGCUAACUCCGUGCCAGCAGCCGCGGUAAGACGGAGGGUGCUAGCGUUGUUCGGAAUCACUGGGCGUAAAGGGCGCGUAGGCGGCACACCAAGUCGGGCGUGAAAGCCCAGGGCUCAACCCUGGAACGGCGCUCGAAACUGGUGCGCUUGAGGCCGGAAGAGGGGAGUGGAAUACCCAGUGUAGAGGUGAAAUUCGUAGAUAUUGGGUGGAACACCGGUGGCGAAAGCGGCUCCCUGGUCCGGACCUGACGCUGAGGCGCGAAAGCGUGGGGAGCGAACAGGAUUAGAUACCCCUGUAGUCC
rnacentral:rRNA from 1 species